UUACUAUAUCGGUAUUAUACAUUUCAGGUCACGGGCCAUGAAACCCCGAAAGAUGCAAGGUCUAUUUAUAUACUUCAUCGGUGGCAAGAAUAAGAUGGAAGUGUGGCCUUUUGUUUAUUUUCGAAGACAAAUGUGAUCUUUCAUUAUAAAAAGGUUUAUGGUUUUAUUUCUGAGGAACUGAAUCUAUUAUGAGUUGAAUGUUUAACACCACUGAAAGGUAUUGAACUUCGAAAAGAAGGUUAUCCUAAUUCAAUGGCAGAAGCAGGUCCAAUAUG